UCAUACGUAGGACCCAAGCGUUAUCCGGAUUGAUUGGGCGUAAAGAGUUGCGUAGGUGGUAAUUUAAGCGAAUAGUGAAAUCUUGUGGCUCAACCAUAAAGACUAUUAUUCGAACUGGGUUACUCGAGAAUGGAAGAGGUAUCUGGAAUUCCUAAUGUAGGGGUAAUAUCCGUAGAUAUUAGGAGGAACACCGAUGGCGUAGGCAGGAUACUGGUCCAUUUCUGACACUAAGGCACGAAAGCGUGGGGAGCGAACAGGAUUAGAUACCCUGGUAGUCCACGCCGUAAACUAUGGAUGCUAGCUGUAUGCCGUAUCGACCCGGUAUGUAGCGAAGCUAACGCGUUAAGCAUCCCGCCUGAGUAGUACGAACGCAAGUUUA
rnacentral:rRNA from 1 species